GGAGACUUGAAAUACAGUCCAUGUGUGGGCCGAAGUAACUAGAUGUCGUCUAGAACUGAUACUCGAUAUGAGGCGGUGCCCAAUCUAAAAUGAUGCUCAACUAGAAAUAGCACAUGUUGCGAGGCUGCUCGGCUUGUGGCUUAUGUUGCCUUGGUUGGUUCGGCUUGUGGCGUUGAAAGUGAGGGAGUCCCUUUUAUAGAAUAAGGGCUCACUCCUCAAGACAUGAAUGAUGGGCUAAAGUUGAUGCUCGCGGCGAGGCAGUUGCUCAUUAGGCGGCGAUGCUCUCUAAAUCAGUUUCUAACUAAUAUGACUCAACAAGGUAAAUGGGGUUUUGGUUUUGACGAAUUUGAAAACAAAACAAGUAAAUUAAAGAACUAAUGAAAUUUGCACGAAUUUGAGUAGAUUGAAUGGAUGGAAUGCUAGCUAGUAGGUUCUUCUCCACAAAUGACACACUUGCAAACAAAACGAUUUCCAGUUUCUUUUCAAUAAACUACGAAUUCUCAACGCCCUAGAUUAACUGUGAAUUACACUAAUUAACCCUAAGAUUUUCCUAAUUUCAUUGAAUUGGAUGAUUGCAUACAACAACCCAAAGCAUUCCCCACAAGUUCCCCACAUGAAUUGCAUAAUAGAGAUACAAGCAAGAAUCAUUAAGUUCUAUGAAAAUCAUAAGCAUUGACGAAACACUUGUAACUAUGAAUUGCAUGAAACUUAUGCCAAGAAUUUACUUAACACGGUUGUGACGAGCAACCUUUACUACUUGUGAAUAUAAGUUCAUAACGAUUAGGUGAAACUCCUUUAUAUCCUCGCAUCAGAUUUAUGUAUGAAAAUUAAGCGUGCACUCUCAGCCAACAUACACAAAUCAGUUUUAAUUCAAAUGGAUAAGUAAAUUGAAUUCACAACUUAUGAAUCAUAACUGAAAGUAAUCAAAUCAUAUUGCAAGCAUGAACAUGGUUUUGAAUUCCCCUUUAGCUAAGGGGGGUUUAGUUCCUCAUACUCACAAAGCAAAGAUAAACAAAUUUAGACAUUGAAAACAAAAGAAUGAAAACACCUAAAAACGCUCCAACAAUCCAACUUGAAUGGCAAGCACGUCCAAGGGUUCUUCUUCUUCUCUUUGUUGCGGCAUAAGGUGUGGUUUGAUGGAUGCGUAUGGAUAUAUGGAAGGGAAUGGUUGAAUGUGUUUAGGUUGGAUGGAGGUCACGGCAAGGAAAGGGAAAUGAAGGUGCAUAGAAUUGUGUUUUUGUUGUGGGAAUAUGUAGAAUGGUUAAGAAGAAAAUACUCUGCCUUGCGGCAGAAUGUGUCUUCCUCCAUUCUCCCUAAACUGUCCGUGUGAAUGUGUCUUUGGAUGGAUCUCCUCCCUUGUUAUGGUGAAGGGUGGAUGUAUUUAUAGGCUAGGGAGAGGACCACCAUCUAGUUAAGGUGGUAGUGGUGUAUGUUGUGGUAAUGAAUGGAUGUAAUGGGUGUAGUGG
rnacentral:lncRNA from 1 species